CUGGCAGCCAUAGGAGAUGAUGGAAAAAAGCUGUUUACUUUUAGAGAAAGCCCCUAAUCCUUCUUUCCUACUGCUGGGAAGUCUAGACCAGUGCUGAGCCCAGAGCUGAGACAGCAGACCUGGGGAAAGACUUGAAGAAUAGGAGGAAGGGAAGAGAGAAAGAAGAAAAAUAAGCCACCAUUUCCACUUGGAUCAUUAGACAUCAGCAAGACUUAUGUGUAUGUGUGGUCCACAGAAGUGAAGUAACUUUUCUACAGUCACCAGGAACCUCAUUUAGUUUUCUGGAGAGGAACUCAAAGAUGAGGCGGCAUCUUUCAGCACCCGACUUCCUGAACCUGUCAACCAACAAAGAUCGACUUUAAGAAUAAACUUCUGAGAGCAGCUAAGGCUCUGGAGUAU
rnacentral:lncRNA from 1 species